rnacentral:rRNA from 1 species
UACAGAGGGGGCAAGCGUUGUUCGGAAUUACUGGGCGUAAAGGGCGCGUAGGCGGCCUUCUAAGUCGAACGUGAAAUCCCCGGGCUCAACCCGGGAACUGCAUCCGAUACUGGAUGGCUUGAAUCCGGGAGAGGGAUGCAGAAUUCCAGGUGUAGCGGUGAAAUGCGUAGAUAUCUGGAGGAAUACCGGUGGCGAAGGCGGCAUCCUGGACCGACAUUGACGCUGAUGCGCGAAAGCCAGGGGAGCGAACGGG